AGCGGUUUGGUUCUCUGGGAAGAGUUCUCAGCGCUCAAGCGACCUGAAGUGAUUUGCGAGGCAAUGGAUCAGGCACAGGACAUGUCCCUGGAUCAAAUGACACUCGUGGUCGGCCACCUCCCAGGUCCCAUUGCUCAGACGUGUAGCAGUGACAGUGAACAGGGCAAUACUCGGACCUUCCUGCCAGCAAUAUCAAAUAACAAGAGGCUGAGUGACUCCCUGUGCGAGCAUGAAAGGACAAAUGGCGAAGGAAGCAGCACCGCUCUGCUGAGAAAAUCUCUGUCUUUGAUACAUCUCCUCAACUCACACAUCAAAUGGGCUCACACCCUCUUGGGUCCUUGAGUUAUUUUCUAAUCUCUAAAGUUUUGAAAACAAACAAAAAACCCUAAACAAACCCAAAAACAUUCC
rnacentral:lncRNA from 1 species